rnacentral:rRNA from 1 species
UACGUAGGGUGCGAGCGUUAAUCGGAAUUACUGGGCGUAAAGCGUGCGCAGGCGGUGAUGUAAGACAGGUGUGAAAUCCCCGGGCUUAACCUGGGAACUGCAUUUGUGACUGCAUCGCUGGAGUGCGGCAGAGGGGGAUGGAAUUCCGCGUGUAGCAGUGAAAUGCGUAGAUAUGUGGAGGAACACCGAUGGCGAAGGCAAUCCCCUGGGCCUGCACUGACGCUCAUGCACGAAAGCGUGGGGAGCAAACAGG